AGGGUUUGAUCAUGGCUCAGAACGUACGCUGGCGGCACGCCUAACACAUGCAAGUCGAACGAAGUAGCAAUACUUAGUGGCAGACGGGUGAGUAACAUGUAGGUAUCUACCCUUUGGCCUGGAAUAACACGAGGAAACUUGUGCUAAUACCGGAUAAGUCUUUACGGAGAAAGCUUUAUGCACCAUUGGAUGAGCCUGCACUUGAUUAGUUUGUUGGUGGGGUAAUGGCCUACCAAGACUGUGAUCAAUAGCUGAUUUGAGAGGAUGAUCAGCCACAUUGGGACUGAGACACGGCCCAAACUCCUACGGGAGGCAGCAGUGGGGAAUCUUGCACAAUGGAGGAAACUCUGAUGCAGCGAUGCCGCGUGAGUGAAGAAGGCCUUUGGGUUGUAAAGCUCUUUCGUCGGGGAAGAAAAUGACUGUACCCGAAUAAGAAGGUCCGGCUAACUUCGUGCCAGCAGCCGCGGUAAUACGAAGGGACCUAGCGUAGUUCGGAAUUACUGGGCUUAAAGAGUUCGUAGGUGGUUGAAAAAGUUAGUGGUGAAAUCCCAGAGCUUAACUCUGGAACUGCCAUUAAAACUUUUCAGCUAGAGUAUGAUAGAGGAAAGCAGAAUUUCUAGUGUAGAGGUGAAAUUCGUAGAUAUUAGAAAGAAUACCAAUUGCGAAGGCAGCUUUCUGGAUCAUUACUGACACUGAGGAACGAAAGCAUGGGUAGCGAAGAGGAUUAGAUACCCUCGUAGUCCAUGCCGUAAACGAUGUGUGUUAGACGUUGGAAAUUUAUUUUCAGUGUCGCAGCGAAAGCAAUAAACACACCGCCUGGGGAGUACGACCGCAAGGUUAAAACUCAAAUGAAUUGACGGGGACCCGCACAAGUAGUGGAGCAUGUGGUUUAAUUCGAAGAUACGCGCAGAACCUUACCAACACUUGACAUGUUCGUCGCGACUCUAAGAGAUUAGAGUUUUCGGUUCGGCCGGACGAAACACAGGUGCUGCAUGGCUGUCGUCAGCUCGUGUCGUGAGAUGUUGGGUUAAGUCCCGCAACGAGCGCAACCCUCACUUUUAGUUGCCAUCAUUUAGUUGGGCACUCUGAAAGAACUGCCAGUGAUAAGCUGGAGGAAGGUGGGGAUGACGUCAAGUCCUCAUGGCCCUUACGUGUUGGGCUACACACGUGCUACAAUGGCGUUGACAAAGAGCAGCGAUAGCGCAAGCUUCAGCUAACCUCAAAAAUACGUCUCAGUUCGGAUAGAUCUCUGCAACUCGAGUUCUUGAAGUUGGAAUCGCUAGUAAUCGCAGAUCAGCAUGCUGCGGUGAAUACGUUCCCGGGCCUUGUACACACCGCCCGUCACACCAUGGAAGUUGGUUUUACCCAAAGACGAUAAGCUAACCGCAAGGAGGCAGUCGGUUACGGUAAGGUCAGCGACUGGGGUGAAGUCGUAACAAGGUAGCCGUA
rnacentral:rRNA from 1 species